rnacentral:rRNA from 1 species
UAGAGUUUGAUCCUGGCUCAGGAUGAACGCUGGCGGCGUGCCUAACACAUGCAAGUCGAACGAAGCUUGACGGAUGAUUUCUUCGGAAUGAAACUAGAUAUGACUUAGUGGCGGACGGGUGAGUAACACGUGAGCAACCUGCCUUUCAGAGGGGGAUAACGGCUGGAAACGGUCGCUAAUACCGCAUGAUGUGUUCGGAUGGCAUCAUCUGAACAUCAAAGAUUUAUCGCUGAAAGAUGGGCUCGCGUCUGAUUAGAUAGUUGGUGGGGUAACGGCCUACCAAGUCUACGAUCAGUAGCCGGACUGAGAGGUUGAACGGCCACAUUGGGACUGAGAUACGGCCCAGACUCCUACGGGAGGCAGCAGUGGGGAAUAUUGCACAAUGGGGGAAACCCUGAUGCAGCAACGCCGCAUGAAGGAUGACGGUUUUCGGAUUGUAAACUUCUUUUCUUAGUGACGAAGACAGUGACGGUAGCUAAGGAAUAAGCAUCGGCUAACUACGUGCCAGCAGCCGCGGUAAUACGUAGGAUGCAAGCGUUAUCCGGAUUUACUGGGUGUAAAGGGAGCGCAGGCGGGACUGCAAGUUGGAUGUGAAAUACCGUGGCUUAACCACGGAACCGCAUCCAAAACUGUAGUUCUUGAGUGAAGUAGGGGCAAGCGGAAUUCCGAGUGUAGCGGUGAAAUGCGUAGAUAUUCGGAGGAACACCAGUGGCGAAGGCGGCUUGCUGGGCUUUAACUGACGCUGAGGCUCGAAAGUGUGGGGAGCAAACAGGAUUAGAUACCCUGGUAGUCCACACUGUAAACGAUGAUAGCUAGGUGUGGGGGGUCUGACCCCUUCCGUGCCGGAGUUAACGCAAUAAGCUAUCCACCUGGGGAGUACGACCGCAAGGUUGAAACUCAAAGG